rnacentral:rRNA from 1 species
UACGAAGGGGGCUAGCGUUGCUCGGAAUUACUGGGCGUAAAGGGCGCGUAGGCGGCCUGCUAAGUCGAACGUGAAAUCCCUGGGCUCAACCCAGGAACUGCGUCCGAUACUGGUUGGCUUGAAUCCGGGAGAGGGACGUGGAAUUCCAGGUGUAGCGGUGAAAUGCGUAGAUAUCUGGAGGAACACCCGGUGGCGAAGGCGACGCCUGGACCGGCAU